GGUGGAUGCCCUGGCAGUCAGAGGCGAUGAAGGACGUGCUAAUCUGCGAUAAGCGUCGGUAAGGUGAUAUGAACCGUUAUAACCGGCGAUUUCCGAAUGGGGAAACCCAGUGUGUUUCGACACACUAUCAUUAACUGAAUCCAUAGGUUAAUGAGGCGAACCGGGGGAACUGAAACAUCUAAGUACCCCGAGGAAAAGAAAUCAACCGAGAUUCCCCCAGUAGCGGCGAGCGAACGGGGAGCAGCCCAGAGCCUGAAUCAGUGUGUGUGUUAGUGGAAGCGUCUGGAAAGGCGCGCGAUACAGGGUGACAGCCCCGUACACAAAAAUGCACAUGCUGUGAGCUCGAUGAGUAGGGCGGGACACGUGGUAUCCUGUCUGAAUAUGGGGGGACCAUCCUCCAAGGCUAAAUACUCCUGACUGACCGAUAGUGAACCAGUACCGUGAGGGAAAGGCGAAAAGAACCCCGGCGAGGGGAGUGAAAAAGAACCUGAAACCGUGUACGUACAAGCAGUGGGAGCACGCUUAGGCGUGUGACUGCGUACCUUUUGUAUAAUGGGUCAGCGACUUAUAUUCUGUAGCAAGGUUAACCGAAUAGGGGAGCCGAAGGGAAACCGAGUCUUAACUGGGCGUUAAGUUGCAGGGUAUAGACCCGAAACCCGGUGAUCUAGCCAUGGGCAGGUUGAAGGUUGGGUAACACUAACUGGAGGACCGAACCGACUAAUCUUGAAAAAUUAGCGGAUGACUUGUGGCUGGGGGUGAAAGGCCAAUCAAACCGGGAGAUAGCUGGUUCUCCCCGAAAGCUAUUUAGGUAGCGCCUCGUGAAUUCAUCUCCGGGGGUAGAGCACUGUUUCGGCAAGGGGGUC
rnacentral:rRNA from 1 species